rnacentral:rRNA from 1 species
UACGAGAGGCCCAAACGUUAUUCGGAAUUACUGGGCUUAAAGAGUUCGUAGGCGGCAUGAAAAGCAGGGUGUGAAAGCCCUCGGCUCAACCGAGGAAUUGCGCUCUGAACUGUCGUGCUUGAGGAACCUAGAGGUGAGCAGAACAGAUGGUGGAGCGGUGAAAUGCGUUGAUAUCAUCUGGAAUACCGGAGGCGAAGGCGGCUCACUGGGGGUUUUCGUGACGCUGAGGAACGGAAAGCCAGGGUAGCGAACGGG